GUCCCGUUAGCUCAGUUGGGAGAGCGCUUGCUCGACAAGCAAGAGGUCACUGGUUCGAACCCAGUACGGGGCA
rnacentral:tRNA from 2 species